AACCCACAUCUCCGCCAAAUCUCCCACCCCCUAAAAAAGGAAAAAACCCUAAGACGUCGACUUCUCUAAACAGUUCGUAUAAACCUAAAAAGCCCAAAGAUGUCGACUUCUCUAACAGUUCGAUUGUAAACCUUUGUUUUGAACGAAUUAGCAGAGAACUGCUUCGACAAAUUCAAAUAAUUAGAGAAACUGCUCUACUCGUAAAAUUCAGAGAAUUAGCGAACGAAGCUGCUCGCCACCUCCAUUGACAACAACUGCUCAUCUUCGAGUUUCUUCUCAUCAAGGGCUUGCGCGGAAGGUUCUAUUGCAGAGGGAUAUUUAGCAACUGAAUGUAUGACCUUAUGUUCAAGGUGUAUACAUACAAUGGAAAUAAAGUUUAAUCACCUUGAACGAAAUUAUGAUGGUGGUAUUAUAGAAUCUGAUGGAGGUUUAACAAUAUUUUGUCAACCUGGAAGAGCUUUAAGAGGUGGCAAAUGACGCAAACUUGAUUCAAAUGAACUAGAGCAAGCACAUAUUUAUAUUUUGUAGAAUUGUGAUGAAUUUCAACCAUUUCUCGAGAGACAAGUACAAGAAACUCGGUCAAUAGGUCUAAGUUGAGUAUGCAUCAUCGUACGGGUAGUAAACCAAUUAGGGAGAUCAUUUAUGAAUUGGGAGGUAAAUAUGGUAAUCCACCAGAUGUGGCAACUUUUUUUUUGAGACUCGUAAGAAGAACAACACGCUUUUCGAACCUGAAACCAAUGAGAAAUAUGAUAAAAUCAAAGAAUUGGUGCAAUCUGAAUCGUCUCUUGCAAACAUUGAGGUUGUAGAAAAGUGCUUUGGACCUCAACGAAAGAGUCAUUUAGCUGGAUUUGGUGGUGGGAUAACCGCUAAGGAGUUGAAAGGUGGUAACUCCUCUAAAACUGCAUUGUUGGAAAAGCUGAAUGCUACUGUAAAAAAAAUAUGAAUCACUAAAAGGACGUUUGGAAGGGCGAGAGAGUAAAUAUGAUGAGCUAGGGAGUAAAUAUGCACAACUUACAAAGAUAGUCUUUGAUCAGUCUUCAUCACCAUCUUCAAGUGAUCAAUAGAUUGAAUCAUAAAACAGAUCAAAAAUUUGAAGUCUGAAGAACCUAUCCUUGAAGAAAGUGUAGAGCAAGUUGAAGUACAAGAGGUUUUUGGUUCGUCAACGAUGGUUUAAAGACGUUGUCUUAUGUACAUAUAUAUGCUUCAAUUUUACUUUUUUUCUUUUGAGGAAUUAUUUAAAAUGAUGAUUAACUCAUCUCACUUUAUGCUUCCAGUUAUCUCCUGGCUGGGUUUGCGUUAUUUUUACUUUUCAUUGUUUUAGUAAGAUGGAGUUUCUUACAAUUUGGAUUGUUUUCUGGUAAAUAUGAUACUUUAGUUCUUUGUAUUAAUAAGAUAUCAAGUAUUUGGUUUA